GUGCUCCCUUUGGCAGUACAUAUACUAAAACUGGAAUACAGAGAAGAUUAACAUAGCCUUUGUGCAAGGAUGAUACAGGACAUGAUCUCUAGGCCCUCCACCAUCCU